UGUUUGCAUUUCAUUUGCACCGCUCUUUGAAGCCAUUAUAGCAAAUAUUGUAUGUGGUUUUAUAACCCACCUAAUUAACUACAAUGGUAUUACCAGUUGUGCCAAUCAUUUUAUAUCAAUCAUGGCAACAAACUAUGUUGUUGCUUGUUUGCGCCAGAACGUCCUUGCAGUUCCAAAAUAUCAUCUCAUCAUAAACCAAGGUGGAAGAUGACAAUUAAUGGUGCACUUCAUUGCACAAAGCUCAUGCAAAUAAAGAGCGAGGGGGUUAAAAGUUGGUGGCGAGCGUAUAAAAUGCCAACGGUGUGAAUUUAAGACUCUUUUUGAAAAUGUAUUGUGGAAUUAACAACUCUUGAGUCGAAAAAAUUCACCAGAUUGUCGAACGGGAAUUGAACGGAAAUUAUCUGUUUUUUUUUAGUGAGUUGGUUCUUUCUGUAAUCUGUGGAAUACAAUCUCUGAAUGAAACCGCAAGGCCUGGACAUUUGAAUGUAUACCAAGAAUGUCCCUAUAAGGCAGAAAGAAGCAGGAUAUUGGAAUGAGCAACGACCGGUUGUCCAAACAGGACACAGAAAAUCCUUUAUUCUCAGAGGAGCGUCUAUCUGUUUGUUGGGCCAAACAUAAAAGCCCCAUUGGUACACAUAUGGUUUACUGCCUGGAAGCUUGUUUUUUAAAGAAAAUGUCCAUAUAUAUAAAAUAGCUCAAUAUAUUAAAGAAAAUAUCAGAAACUAACAGAACUAGUUCAAUUUUAGGAAAGAGUUAUUUGCUUCAUUGUCAAAUGAAACAACGUGGCUAUAACUGUAAUUCUCUACCAGUCCGGUGUAGAAGCACUGUGAACAAGUAUGAACCUUAAUGCAAUCGCUUCAACUAAUGUGUAAUUGCACAGGUCACGAGUAAACCUCCUAUAAUCUAGCAAUUUGACAACUGGAGGUGGACCUGUGCCCGUUGCAGUAAAAUUUCGAGAUAGGCCAGCAUUGGGUAGUGAAUAGAAAUUUGCGAUCUUCGUAAGUGAGUAUGUGAAACUUAUACUAGCAGUAAACAUAUUUUCCAUUCUAACAUUCGACUUCUUUUAAACGGUAAAUUGCAUAUAAUGUAGCAGUUAGUUGUCGUGCUCAGUUUUGUUGUCGUUUAUACUGUGAUCAUGUUACAAUGAAUUUCAAUUGAAACACGACGGCUUGUUGCACCACGACAUGGUUACAUUGAUCCUGCACGACGGUGAAAUAAACGAGUCAUAUAGAGCGCAUAGUUUUUUUUUUAAUUUGACUGUAAUUCACUUCUGAUCCAUUGAUCACCCAAUUGAUCGUCGUCUUGUAUUUCCCUGCGUAGAUGCAAGGCCUUUCUUCAAUCUUUGAUAUUUGCUGCUUAUAUUUAUAGGUAAACAAAUAAUUUCAUUGUUGCAAUAAGCAUUUCUUUUUCACAAAAUGGGAAACCCAUUUGUUUAAAUAUCAAACUAUUUGCAAAUGGAUAGUUCCUGCAUAAAUCAGAUAUAUUUCAUUAAACAGAAAAGCCAGCGAUAUUAGUGGUAAUGUUCCAACAAACAUCACUUGUUUUCCAAUUUAACAGCGUAUCAAAUAAAUGUCAGUGAAACCCAGGUGACGCGAACGACCAGAACUUCAAGGUUUCAAGGUUUCAGCCCUCACCAGAAAGCCAGAAGAGGCCGUCGCGAAGCCACAAUGACAUUCUCUGUGACGGUGACCUCUCUUCUAUUAUCCAUCGGUAUGGAAUGUCCUCCCCAUUCAUUCCACUCUGCGCUGAGACUGAAAAUAUUCACUUGAUUUUCAUAAACAUCUAACAUUCUCAUGGACUGGUCUGCUGAGAAAACCAUAAUCUUCUAUCACAAAAGGUGUUCUAACACCACAGGACACAAGUUCUCAUUACACUAUGUGAAUGCUAUUGUUUCUCUUUAGAAUGACUAGCUGACUUUCUGUUAGUGGUUGGUAACACUGUUUUGUCAGAUGUAAUGGCCUUCAGUCCAGUUUGUUUCAUUUUAUUGUGGGAACCAAGUUUACUGGAGAACAUUGUAAAAAAAAAACUAACAGUAGAUUGAAUACAGAGGCUUCUUGCAAAGAAAGAACAAGUUGGAUGAUGUGCAUUUGGCCAGGUAUAGAAAUAAGAAAUUGGAAGUGGAAUAUGGCUAAGUGUUGUGUUCACAAAACUGAUGCGAAAUAGCACGUUGUUGUUGUUAUAUAUGUAGAGUCAAUACCAAAACGUAAAGCUGUUAGCAAUGAUACUUAAGCAGCUACAGGUGAUAAUUUGAAACAAAGAACUGUAGAUUCUGUUUAAUACACAAAAGGACACAAAGUGCUGGAGCAAUUCUGCAGUUCAGGUAGCAUAUCUGGAGAACAUGGAUAGGCAACGUUUCGAGUCGAGACCCUUCUUCAGACUCAGAAAUAUCAAGAAUCUGAAGGGUCUUGACCUAAAACAUCACCUAUCCAUGUUCUCCAGAGAUGCUGCCUGACCUGCUGAGUUACUUCAGCACUUUGUGUCCUUUUGUUUUUUACAGGCAAUAAUUGCUUUAGUAUACCCUCCAGCAAACAUUAAUUAUUGUGCUGUUCCAAAUCUAAGGAAAUGGCACUACUGAACAUCAAUGGAAAUUUCAACACCAGAUUUUUGGCAUGCAUGCCUAAUCAUUACACUUGUGCUCAAACCAGAGUUGCCAGAUGUACACCUGUAUGUCUCCCUACAAACUGAUGUUCUACCAGUGCACAAACAUCCCCAAAAAAACUUGGAAUUGCUGGAAAUCUAAAAUUACUCUGGAAAAUUAUUGAACCACUCAGCAGGUCAGUUAGCAUCUGCGUUAAAAAAGAGAGAAAAAGAGCUAGUAAAGAAAAUAAAUAAUAGGAAAGUGAAGCAGGAGGGAGAUUAUCCAUUCGCCACAAGGAGAUGCUUUUUUAUAUUCUUGAUCAUCUUUCACCCAAACCUGAAACUUUUAAUUUUUACGAUACUGUUGCACCACAUGAAUCCAAAAAAUCAAUAAAUGGAGACCAACUCGUUAAGAAUUGGUCUUGUUUGUCUAUUAGGAGGAGUCUCAUUUCUUCCAGGUGGGCUGUGUCCAACAUAUUACUGGUCCACAUUUUAAAUGUUGGUAUAGUUGCAUUUUUCCAAACUUUAAGUAUGUUUUUUUGCUGUUAUUAAACCAUAAUAUAAAAAAUUUGGGGUAUGUUUAAUUUGUUCCCAUCUCCCAUUACUCCGAAUAUAAUCAUUUCAGUAUUAGGUUCCAUUUUUAUCUUAAAUAGACUAGUGAAUAUAUCAAAUAUAUCACACCAAAAUUUAUGAAGUUUUGUACAAGAAACAAAAGAGUGUGUGAUAUUGGCAUUUUGAGAGAGCCAUUUGUCACAGAUGGGAGAAAUAUUUGAAUAGAAUUUAUUCAACCUAGUUUUUGAAUAAUAUAAUUUGUGUAAUAUUUUAAAUUGAAUUAAAUUGUGUCAAGCAUUAAUCGAACAUUUAUGUAUAUAUAUCAAAUACUUUUCCCAUUUUUCUUUGGAAAUUUUUAUCAUUAAUUAUUUUUCCCAGUCUUCUAUAAUUGCCUCUGUUGAUGGCAAUUCUCUGUUAAGAAUACUAUUAUAUAGAUAUGAUAUUAUUUUUUGUGAGUCCACCUUAAUAUUCAUUGCUUCAUCCAGUGGGUCUGUCAUUAUGCUCUGAAAUCUUGGUAUAUAUUUCUUCAUAGUCACAUAUCUGUAAAUAUUUAAAGUAUUGGUUGUUAUUCAGUUUAAAUUUUGAUUUUAAUUGUUGAAAUGAUAAUAAAUUUCCCAUUUCAUACAUGUCACCCACCUUUUUAAUUCCCAAUCUUUCCCAUUGUCUAUAUGUUUUAUCCAUGUGAUGGUUUAAAUACCGGGUUAUUCACUAUUGGUAUUAGUGCUGAUAGGUUUCUUAAUUUUAAAGUUAAUUUUAUUUGUUUCUAAAUGCGUAUUAUAUUAUGUAUAAUUGGAUUCUUCUUAUAUAAUGUAUUGUUCAAUUUUAUCGGGGAGAAGAGGAUCGCUCCUAAAUCGUACGGAGAACAAUCCUCUUUCUCCAUUCUUAUCCAUUCCAUCUGUUGAGAAGGACUAUCCAACCAAUAAAUUAUAUUCUUAAUAUGCACUGCCCAAUAAUAAUAUAAAAAAUUAGGCAGUGCAAAUCCCCCUACCACUUGGGGUUUGCACAAGUGGUUUCUUUUAAUUCUAUGUGCUUCAUAGUCCCAGAUAAAAUUGGUAAUAUUAGAGUCUAAUUGUUUUUUAAUGUUUGGUAUAUAUAUUGGUAUGGAUUGAAAUGUAUAUUAUUUGUGGUAGAACUAUCAUUUUUAUAGCGUUUAUUCUGCCGAUUCUUGUUCCUUCCUGCACAUGAGUUUUAUACAACCUUAUACAACCCUUUUCUACAAAGGGUUUUAUUUUAUUUGCUUUCACCAGAUUUGUAUUGUCCUAGAGUUGAAUAUGCCCUAUGCUAAUACACUGGAUCAUUAUUUUUCAUAUUAUGUACACAAAAACUUGUACAUUUGUGAGAAAGUUACAUUAAACAACUUAUGGUCACACUCA